AUUGAACGCUGGCGGCAGGCCUAACACAUGCAAGUCGAGCGGAUGAACGCUGCUUGCUCCUGGAUUCAGCGGCGGACGGGUGAGUAAUGCCUAGGAAUCUGCCUGGUAGUGGUUGAUAACGUCCGCAAACGGGCGCUAAUACCGCAUACGUCCUGCUGCAGCAAGUGGGGGAUCUUCGGACCUCUCGCUAUCUGAUGAGCCUAGGUCGGAUUAGCUAGUUGGUUGGGUAAGGGCCUACCAAGGCGACGAUCCGUAACUGGUCUGAGAGGAUGAUCAGUCACACGGGAAGGUAGACAGGGUCAAGAGUACUAAGGGAGGGAGCAGAGGGGAAUGGGAGACAGUGGGGGAAAGCAUUAUACAGUGAGGGGGCGUGUGUGAAGAAGGUCUUGGGAGUGUAAAGAACGCUAAGUGGGGAGGAAGGGCAGUAGGUUAAUACCUAGCUGUAGUGACGUUACCAGCAGAAGAAGCACCGGCUAACUUCGUG
rnacentral:rRNA from 1 species